rnacentral:rRNA from 1 species
AUUGAACGCUGGCGGCAGGCUUAACACAUGCAAGUCGAACGAGUGGCGGACGGGUGAGUAAUGCUUGGGAAUCUAGCUUAUGGAGGGGGAUAACAACGGGAAACUGUAGCUAAUACCGCGUACAAUAGGAUGAGCCCAAGUGGGAUUAGGUAGUGGGUGAGGUAAAGGCUCACAAAGACGACGAUCUCUAGCUGGUCUGAGAGGAUGACCAGCCACACUGGGACUGAGACACGGCCCAGACUCCUACGGGAGGCAGCAGUGGGGAAUAUUGCGCAAUGGGGGCAACCUGACGCAGCCAUGCCGCGUGAAUGAAGAAGGCCUUCGGGUUGUAAAGUUCUUUCGGUAGCGAGGCGUUAACUACAGAAGAAGCACCGGCUAACUCCGUGCCAGCAGCCGCGGUAAUAC